rnacentral:rRNA from 1 species
UACAGAGGUCUCAAGCGUUGUUCGGAUUCAUUGGGCGUAAAGGGUGCGUAGGCGGCGCGGUAAGUCGGGUGUGAAAUCUCGGAGCUUAACUCCGAAACUGCAUUCGAUACUGCCGUGCUUGAGGACUGGAGAGGAGACUGGAAUUUACGGUGUAGCGGUGAAAUGCGUAGAUAUCGUAAGGAAGACCAGUGGCGAAGGCGGCUCACUGGACCGGUUCUGACGCUGAGGCGCGAAAGCGUGGGGAGCAAACAGGG